rnacentral:rRNA from 1 species
GGUAUUUUGACCGUGCAAAGGUAGCAUAAUCAAUAGUUUUUUAAUUGAAAGCUGGAAUGAAAGGUUGGAUGAGAAAUAAGCUGUCUCUAUUUAAUUUUAUUAGAAUUUUAUUUUUAAGUUAAAAAGCUUAAAUUUUGAUAGAAGACGAGAAGACCCUAUAGAGUUUUAUUUAUUUUUUUAAUAAGAUUAUUAGUAUAAAUUAUUUUUAUUUAAAAAAUAAAUUUAGUUGGGGUGAUUGAAAAAUUUAAUAAACUUUUUAUAUAAAAAUACAUUAAUUUAUGAGUGAUUGAUCCUUUAAUUAAGAUUAAAAGAUAAAAUUACCUUAGGGAUAACAGCGUAAUUUUUUUUAAGAGUUCUAAUCGAAAAAAAAGAUUGCGACCUCGAUGUUGGAUUAAAAUAAAAUUUUGGUGUAGAAGCUAGAA